rnacentral:rRNA from 1 species
UACGGAGGGUGCAAGCGUUGUCCGGAUUUAUUGGGUUUAAAGCGUGUGUAGGCGGCCACGUAAGUCGGAUGUGAAAGCCCCGGGCUCAACCCGGGAAGUGCACUCGAUACUGCGUGGCUUGAGUACUGGAGAGGUUGGUGGAAUUCUCGGUGUAGAGGUGAAAUUCGUAGAUAUCGAGAGGAACACCGGUGGCGAAGGCGGCCAACUGGACAGAUACUGACGCUGAGACACGAAAGCCAGGGGAGCGAACGGG